GCAAGUCGAACGAGGGCCCGGAGCUUGCUCUGGUGACCCGAGUGGCGGACGGGUGAGUAACACGUGACCAACCUACCUUCGGGAGGGGGACAACCUGGGGAAACCCGGACUAAUAUCGCAUAUCGUCCACGGGUCGCAUGACCUGUGGAUAAAAGGGAGCCUCUGCUUGCAAGCUCUCACCCGAAGAGGGGGUCGCGGCGUAUCAGCUAGUUGGUGGGGUAACGGCCUACCAAGGCAACGACGCGUAGCGGGUCUGAGAGGACGACCCGUCACAUUGGGACUGAGAUACGGCCCAGACUCCUACGGGAGGCAGCAGUGGGGAAUAUUGCGCAAUGGCCGAAAGGCUGACGCAGCGACGCCGCGUGUGGGAGGACGCCCUUCGGGGUGUAAACCACUGUCAGGGGGGAAGAACUUCGCAGGUGUGAAUAGCGCUUGCGGUUGACGGUACCCCCAGAGGAAGCGCCGGCUAACUCCGUGCCAGCAGCCGCGGUAAGACGGAGGGCGCAAGCGUUGUUCGGAAUUACUGGGCGUAAAGGGCAGGUAGGUGGUUUGUUAAGUCUUCUGUGAAAAUCCGGGGCUCAACCCCGCGAAAUGCAGGUGAAACUGGCAGACUUGAGACCGGUAGAGGCUAGCGGAAUUCCUGGUGUAGCGGUGGAAUGCGUAGAUAU
rnacentral:rRNA from 1 species